rfam:Chishuiella changwenlii strain DSM 27989 genome assembly, contig: Ga0131172_102
AAUUCGCAUUAGGGAUUGUAGUGAAAAUCCUUUUUACGAAGCGAUUUAGCGAAGGAAAAAGAUUGUAGCAAAAGCCCGACCUAAA